rnacentral:rRNA from 1 species
GGGUUGUGAGGUUAAGCGACUAAGCGUACACGGUGGAUGCCCUGGCAGUCAGAGGCGAUGAAGGACGUGCUAAUCUGCGAAAAGCGUCGGUAAGGUGAUAUGAACCGUUACAGCCGGCGAUGUCCGAAUGGGGAAACCCAGUGCAAUUCGUUGCACUAUCGUUUGAUGAAUACAUAGUCAAACGAGGCGAACCGGGGGAACUGAAACAUCUAAGUACCCCGAGGAAAAGAAAUCAACCGAGAUUCCCCCAGUAGCGGCGAGCGAACGGGGAGCAGCCCGGAGUCUGAAUCAGCUUGUGUGUUAGUGGAAGCGUCUGGAAAGUCGCAGGGUACAGGGUGAUACUCCCGUACACUAAAACACACAGGCUGUGAACUCGAAGAGUAGGGCGGGACACGUGGUAUCCUGUCUGAAUAUGGGGGGACCAUCCUCCAAGGCUAAAUACUCCUGACUGACCGAUAGUGAACCAGUACCGUGAGGGAAAGGCGAAAAGAACCCCGGCGAGGGGAGUGAAAAAGAACCUGAAACCGUGUACGUACAAGCAGUAGGAGCCCACUUGUUGGGUGACUGCGUACCUUUUGUAUAAUGGGUCAGCGACUUAUAUUCUGUAGCAAGGUUAACCGUAUAGGGGAGCCGCAGGGAAACCGAGUCUUAACUGGGCGUUAAGUUGCAGGGUAUAGACCCGAAACCCGGUGAUCUAGCCAUGGGCAGGUUGAAGGUUGGGUAACACUAACUGGAGGACCGAACCGACUAAUGUUGAAAAAUUAGCGGAUGACUUGUGGCUGGGGGUGAAAGGCCAAUCAAACCGGGAGAUAGCUGGUUCUCCCCGAAAGCUAUUUAGGUAGCGCCUCGUGAACUCAUCUUCGGGGGUAGAGCACUGUUUCGGCUAGGGGGUCAUCCCGACUUACCAACCCGAUGCAAACUACGAAUACCGAAGAAUGUUAUCACGGGAGACACACGGCGGGUGCUAACGUCCGUCGUGAAGAGGGAAACAACCCAGACCGCCAGCUAAGGUCCCAAAGUCAUGGUUAAGUGGGAAACGAUGUGGGAAGGCCCAGACAGCCAGGAUGUUGGCUUAGAAGCAGCCAUCAUUUAAAGAAAGCGUAAUAGCUCACUGGUCGAGUCGGCCUGCGCGGAAGAUGUAACGGGGCUAAACCAUGCACCGAAGCUGCGGCAGCGACACUAUGUGUUGUUGGGUAGGGGAGCGUUCUGUAAGCCGUUGAAGGUGGCCUGUGAGGGUUGCUGGAGGUAUCAGAAGUGCGAAUGCUGACAUAAGUAACGAUAAUGCGGGUGAAAAACCCGCACGCCGGAAGACCAAGGGUUCCUGUCCAACGUUAAUCGGGGCAGGGUGAGUCGACCCCUAAGGCGAGGCCGAAAGGCGUAGUCGAUGGGAAACAGGUUAAUAUUCCUGUACUUGGUGUUACUGCGAAGGGGGGACGGAGAAGGCUAUGUUGGCCGGGCGACGGUUGUCCCGGUUUAAGCGUGUAGGUGUGUGUUCCAGGUAAAUCCGGUUCACUUUAACACUGAGGCGUGAUGACGAGGCACUACGGUGCUGAAGUGACAAAUGCCCUGCUUCCAGGAAAAGCCUCUAAGCAUCAGGUAACAUCAAAUCGUACCCCAAACCGACACAGGUGGUCAGGUAGAGAAUACCAAGGCGCUUGAGAGAACUCGGGUGAAGGAACUAGGCAAAAUGGUGCCGUAACUUCGGGAGAAGGCACGCUGAUAUGUAGGUGAAGUGGUUUACCCAUGGAGCUGAAAUCAGUCGAAGAUACCAGCUGGCUGCAACUGUUUAUUAAAAACACAGCACUGUGCAAACACGAAAGUGGACGUAUACGGUGUGACGCCUGCCCGGUGCCGGAAGGUUAAUUGAUGGGGUUAUCCGUAAGGAGAAGCUCUUGAUCGAAGCCCCGGUAAACGGCGGCCGUAACUAUAACGGUCCUAAGGUAGCGAAAUUCCUUGUCGGGUAAGUUCCGACCUGCACGAAUGGCGUAAUGAUGGCCAGGCUGUCUCCACCCGAGACUCAGUGAAAUUGAACUCGCUGUGAAGAUGCAGUGUACCCGCGGCAAGACGGAAAGACCCCGUGAACCUUUACUAUAGCUUGACACUGAACACUGGUCCUUGAUGUGUAGGAUAGGUGGGAGGCUUUGAAGUGUGGACGCCAGUCUGCAUGGAGCCAUCCUUGAAAUACCACCCUUUAAUGGCUGGUGUUCUAACGUGGGCCCGUAAUCCGGGUUGCGGACAGUGUCUGGUGGGUAGUUUGACUGGGGCGGUCUCCUCCUAAAGAGUAACGGAGGAGCACGAAGGUCAGCUAAUCCUGGUCGGACAUCAGGAGGUUAGUGCAAUGGCAUAAGCUGGCUUGACUGCGAGCGUGACGGCGCGAGCAGGUGCGAAAGCAGGUCAUAGUGAUCCGGUGGUUCUGAAUGGAAGGGCCAUCGCUCAACGGAUAAAAGGUACUCCGGGGAUAACAGGCUGAUACCGCCCAAGAGUUCAUAUCGACGGCGGUGUUUGGCACCUCGAUGUCGGCUCAUCACAUCCUGGGGCUGAAGUAGGUCCCAAGGGUAUGGCUGUUCGCCAUUUAAAGUGGUACGCGAGCUGGGUUUAGAACGUCGUGAGACAGUUCGGUCCCUAUCUGCCGUGGGCGCUGGAGAAUUGAGGGGGGCUGCUCCUAGUACGAGAGGACCGGAGUGGACGCAUCACUGGUGUUCGGGUUGUCAUGCCAAUGGCAUUGCCCGGUAGCUAAAUGCGGAAGAGAUAAGUGCUGAAAGCAUCUAAGUACGAAACUUGCCCCGAGAUGAGUUCUCCCUGACUCCUUGAGAGUCCUGAAGGAACGUUGAAGACGACGACGUUGAUAGGCCGGGUGUGUAAGCGCAGCGAUGCGUUGAGCUAACCGGUACUAAUGAACCGUGAGGCUUAACCUUACAACGCCGAAG